rnacentral:lncRNA from 1 species
CCCAUCUUCAGUUGAGGCUCCACAUCAAGAUCAAACACGACAAGAAUCUCAAGUGGAUCACGUUCUAGAUCGGCACAAUUGCAUUGCUUUUCAAUUAUGAAGAUAAUUAUGAGCAUCGGUUUCCUGUUGAACCGUUCGCGGCCAGACCCACCAUAGGGCCGCGGGGGGGGGUGAGGGCAUUAGAACGGUUAUAUAGCAAGCCAAUGCCCAAGUACUUCUACGAAAUUCAAGCAAUGGCAUUGCCAAAUGGAGAACAAUCUACAGAGCAUCUUCAUGCUCAAGCUCACAUUUGGAACCAAAUUUUCAACUUCAUAAACUCCAUGUCUCUCAAGUGUGCGAUUCAACUAGGCAUACCAGAUAUUAUCCAUAAACAUGGCAAACCAAUGACACUGCCCGAACUAGUCGAUGCCCUCCCCAUCGACAAAGCAAAAUCUCAAUGUGUCUCCCGCCUAAUGCGAAUUUUAACCCAUUCAAGGUUCUUCAUUGAUGCCAAAAUCUCCGAGAACGAAGAAAAUAUGGGAUAUUGGCUUACAUCAGCUUCUCGUCUCCUCUUAAAAGACGAGCCACUGAGCGUGACACCAUUUUUACUGGCCAUGCUUGAUCCGAUUUUGACAGAGCCAUGGCAUCAUCUGAGUGAGUGGUUUGAAAGUGAUCAGAAUCCUACGGCAUUUGAUACUAAACAUGGGAGGAUGUUCUGGGAGUAUGCUGGGCAUGAGCCAAGGUUGAAUAGCUUCUUCAACGAAGCCAUGGCUAGUGAUGCCCGGUUGGUGACUAGCGUGCUCAUUAGAGAUUGUAAACAUGUAUUUGAAGGUUUGAAUUCAAUUGUAGAUGUGGGAGGUGGAACAGGAACUUUGUCCAAGAAUAUUGCUGAUGCAUUUCCAAACUUGAAAUGCACUGUGCUUGAUCUCCCACAUGUUGUUGCCGGCUUGGAAGGGACUAAGAACCUGAGCUAUCUUGGGGGUGACAUGUUUGAGUCAAUUCCUUCUGCAGAUGCAAUCUUACUCAAGGUAUUACUAUGUCUUCGUCUUUUCCUUGCCCUUUUCAUGUGAUAUUGAUUUUGAAAUUCAUAUUACAAAACCUUCUUUUAUCAAACGAGUCACCAGAUCGCUCUAUCCUCUUCAUUAUUCAUAAUAACAGAAGUAUUCAGUGUCACCCUUAACAUUUUUAAUUGAACUCGAGGUUCAAUUUAGAUUUUCACUUCAGUUUGAUGGUUAACUAGAAUGAAUGAAGUGACCAAUUUUAGCAUGGAUGCCUUUGAACUUGUAAUCCUAAACCGUACUAACACUAUGCAUGUGUUGCAUUAAUUGUUCAUCAUUGUUGAAAUUUGAAGCAUCUCAAUAAUGUUCUACCUACCAUCUCAAUAAUUAAUUCAAUGAGAUGUUGAUUAGAUAAGGAAAAAUGUGAAGGCAUGACACACAUGCACAAGUACAUCAAUAAGUUGCUGUCAUAUAUAAAAGUUUUACUAUAAGCAAUGACCUAAAACAGGGUCAUCAAAAGUGAUUUGAAUGUAAAAAAUAAUAAAAUAAUUUUUACAAGAAAAUUAAACUACUGCUCUUUUGAUUUUGUUAAAAAUAAGAAUUAGUAUCAAAUAAUUACAUAAGGAUAACGAUGAAGUAAGGUAUGACACUCACAAUCACAUUAAAAAUUGGGUUGUCAGAAGUAUUACUAUAAACAAUGACCUAAAAUGUGGUCAUCGAAAGUAACUUUUACAAGUAAAUUAAACUAUUCUUCUGCUUGAUUUUGUUAAACAUAUAUUUUAGUGUAGCUUGAUAGAAGAUGAUAAAUGUAUAAUUGAUAAAUUGACAAAAAAAUUAUGGAUCUUAUAAAAUGUAAAAUAGAAAUAAACUUAUAGAGAAAAAUAAAUUUUAAAAAUGAGGAUCAAAUAUUAUUUAAUCAAGAAAUAGAAGUAAAUGAUUCGAGAAAGAUUCCACAACCAUGUUACUAUUCUAUUGCUUGAUUCUAAUUUUGCACAUUGACUCAUAACAUUUCAUUUCUUUUUCACCAUACAUCUCCCAAAAAAAAAAAAAAAAAAAAAUGAAAAUUCACUUUUCGCAAAACACAUUCUCAAAAAAUCUCCACCUAUUAUAGCUAAUCUUGGGGUGCCAUAUUUCAUAUCCAGUCCCUAUUUUAUUUAGUUAAAUAAGAUGAUUAAAUCUAAAUUAAAGUCAACAAUUAAUUUUAACAACAUAUUUUAUAGAAUUUACAACUUUUCAACCGUUAUAUAUUUCAUUAACUUUUAUUAAAAUCUACUAAAUAUAUGAUUUUUAUCUAAUUCAAAUAGGGGCUCAAUUUCUUAGAAAACAAUGUACUAGUCUUGUUCAAUCUUUGGAGUCGUUUUGUCUAUUAUUUAUUACAUGAACUCAGAUUCUAAUGCUUAUAGUACUGGUACAUUUGAAUAGUGGAUAUUGCAUGAUUGGAGCGAUGAAGAGUGUGUAAAAAUAUUGAAAACAUGCAAAGAAGCUAUUCAAAGCACGGAUAAAGAAGGAAAAAUCAUCAUUAUUGACAUGAUCAUAGACAACCAGAAAGAAGACAACAAGGCAAUCGAAACACAACUCCACUUCGAUAUGUUGAUGAUGGCCCUUCUUACUGGGAGAGAACGAAAUGAGAAAGAAUUCGCAACAAUCUUCUAUGAUGCUGGCUUUACUCGCUACAAAAUAAUCCCUAUAUUGGGAUUGAGGUCUGUUAUUGAGGUUUAUCCUUAAUUAGCUCAUUAUGUCGAAUAAAAGCUGCUUCUGAGCAAAAUUUCGUCUUCAAUUUGUGCUAUUUCUGUAUUCAUCCACAACGAUAUUUUGUAUCUGUGCUAUCAUUCUAUUUUUGUAAUAAAUUACACAAAAUGUUUCGUCUUUGGUAAUAUAGAGAAUAAAGAUUCUUUCUUAUUCAUUAGGUCCGAUCUUAUUUAUUUUGUAAACUCUGGUACAACCACUAGCAAUAUAAGUAUUAAAUGAAC